rnacentral:lncRNA from 1 species
AAAAUCGAACCGAACUGACCGAUAUUGUCACGACCUGAGGCUUCCCCUACUCGUAACACAUUGCUUAGAACCACAAAUGAUCCCAAGCUUACCCAUGUACUAGACUCGUAAGGUCUCAGUACAACUUGUUACGACGAGUUGUAGCCAAGACAGUUUCUAGGAAACCCACACACUGUUGACCCUAUGACUUAACUGUUACGACUCGUAAUGGAACCCUACGACUCAU